CCUACGGGGGGCUGCAGUGGGGAAUUUUGGACAAUGGGGGCAACCCUGAUCCAGCCAUUCCGCGUGAGUGAAGAAGGCCUUCGGGUUGUAAAGCUCUUUUGUCCGGAGCGAAACGGGCGGCCCUAAUACGGUCGUCUACUGACGGUACCGGAAGAAUAAGCACCGGCUAACUACGUGCCAGCAGCCGCGGUAAUACGUAGGGUGCUUGCGUUACUCGGAAUUACUGGGCGUGAAGCUGUCGGCGGCGGUUGAAAUCCCCGGGCUCAACCUGGGAAUGGCAUUUGUGACUGCAAGGCUGGAGUGUGGCAGAGGGGACUAGAAUUCCUGGUGUAGCAGUGAAAUGCGUAGAUAUCAGGAGGAAUACCGAUGGCGAAGGCAGGUCCCUGGGUUAACACUGACGCUCAUGCACGAAAGCGUGGGGAGCAAACAGGAUUAGAUACCCCUGUAGUC
rnacentral:rRNA from 1 species